GCUUCCGGCGUGGCGGCGUCGGCGGCUGCGGCUCGCACGCGCCUCGGUCCGGGCUAAUCCCUUCUGCGCCGCCUCCCUCCCCUCCCGGCCGGGCAGCGGCGAGUGCCGCGCGCACCUUGACGCUCUGAUCGCUGGAGCAGGUGGCCAUCCGGCGCCCGUGGAAGUCGAAAGACACAUCGUGGAUGAGGUCCUUGUGGUCCGCCGCGAUGCUGCGCGCCACAAACAUGGCCGCCGCCGUCUGCCGGGCCCGCCUCCGAGAGGGCGGCGGUGCGGCCCGCAGCCCCCGGACCACCGCGGAGGCACGUACGGCACGUCGGCCCUCGCCUGCCCGCCCGCGUCGGCCCCGGCGCGCCACGCCCCGAGGGACACGCCCUGCGCGGGCGGAGCCUGCGUCCGGACCUCGCUGCAGCAGCAGACGAAGCUGGGAGACGGAGGAUGGAAAAGUGAAAGCACCUUCCGGGGUCAGCCUGGGGGUGUGCGCCUCCGAAAACACGUGAUCCGUGCACAGAGCUAGUAGACACUUCCCGCAGCCAAUUUGAGUGGGUGGUUCAACCGCGUAACCAGAGCUUCUUAGGAAUGAUGGGGACGCCCAAAGUUGUGGCUUAGGGAGUCCCGCUCAGCGAGUGCAAAGUCCGCCCGAAGGAUGAAAUUGAAGAGGAGUGGAGAACCUGAAGCAGCAGUCAGUGAUGAAAGAUGGCACAAGUACAGCAGGCUCAAGGGUGUCAGCAAAACAGAAUGUGGAAAAAGACUUUCUAGAAAGUCACCUGGGGUGAUGGCAAGACCCAGAAGGAUAUCCAAUAUUUACUUGAAUGGAGCCAGUCUUUAAUGGAGAAUUCCAGCUCCAGAGAAUCUGAAACAUCUGGAUUCCUUGAGGAUCUUCACUCUUCCUGCACACAACAGAUAAACAUACACACAGAGACAUAAAUAAAAGUAAUCCUUUCUGAGAUUUUAUUCCUAUUUUAGAGGUAGAGCCCAGGUCCAUCAGCUGUGUGUAAAACUAAUAACUAUUCAUUAAUUCCCAGAAACAAAACACACUAUAAUAAAAAAGUACAAUUAAGUCUAUACUUUUAAAAGUAAA